GACGAACGCUGGCGGCGUGCCUAAUACAUGCAAGUCGAGCGGAUUGAUGGGAGCUUGCUCCCUGAUAUCAGCGGCGGACGGGUGAGUAACACGUGGGCAACCUGCCUAUAAGACUGGGAUAACUUCGUGAAACCGGAGCUAAUACCGGAUAAUCCCUUUCCUCCCAUGAGGAAAGGCUGAAAGAUGGUUUACGCUAUCACUUAUAGAUGGGCCCGCGGCGCAUUAGCUAGUUGGUGAGGUAACGGCACACCAAGGCAACGAUGCGUAGCCGACCUGAGAGGGGGAUCGGACACACUGGGGCUGAGACACGGCCCAGACUCCUACGGGAGGCAGCAGUAGGGAAUCUUCCGCAAUGGACGAAAGUCUGACGGAGCAACGCCGCGUGAGUGAUGAAGGUUUUCGGAUCGUAAAACUCUGUUGUUAGGGAAGAACAAGUACGAGAGUAACUGCUCGUACCUUGACGGUACCUAACCAGAAAGCCACGGCUAACUACGUGCCAGCCGCCGCCGUAA
rnacentral:rRNA from 1 species